CAAUAGCGUAUAUUAAAGUUGUUGCAGUUAAAAAGCUCGUAGUUGGACUUCUGACGUGGGACUGCGCCCCGUUCCUUUUGGGACGUUGGGUGCGGACUUGUGUCUUCCUCUCGUAGUUGGUUGGUGCACUUAACUGGGUGCCUUCUGAAUAUGGGACCUUUACUUUGAAAAAUUAGAGUGUUCAAAGCAGGCAUUGGCUUGAAUACAUUAGCAUGGAAUAAUAGUCGAGGCUCUUGGUCUGACUUGUUGGUUUGCAGCCCGAGAGAAUGAUUCAAUAGGGAUAGUUGGGGGUAUUCGUAUUCAAUUGUCAGAGGUGAAAUUCUUGGAUUUAUGGAAGACGAACUACUGCGAAAGCAUUUACCAAGGAUGUUUUCAUUAAUCAAGAACGAAAGUUAGGGGAUCGAAGACGAUCAGAUACCAU
rnacentral:rRNA from 1 species